rnacentral:rRNA from 1 species
CCUACGGGAGGCUGCAGUGGGGAAUAUUGGACAAUGGGGGGAACCCUGAUCCAGCCAUGCCGCGUGUGUGAAGAAGGCCCUCGGGUUGUAAAGCACUUUCAGUGAGGAAGAACGCCUGGUGGUGAAUACCCAUCAGGAAAGACAUCACUCACAGAAGAAGCACCGGCUAACUCCGUGCCAGCAGCCGCGGUAAUACGGAGGGUGCGAGCGUUAAUCGGAAUUACUGGGCGUAAAGCGCGCGUAGGUGGCUUGAUAAGCCGGUUGUGAAAGCCCCGGGCUCAACCUGGGAACGGCAUCCGGAACUGUCAAGCUAGAGUGCAGGAGAGGAAGGUAGAAUUCCCGGUGUAGCGGUGAAAUGCGUAGAGAUCGGGAGGAAUACCAGUGGCGAAGGCGGCCUUCUGGACUGACACUGACACUGAGGUGCGAAAGCGUGGGUAGCAAACAGGAUUAGAUACCCGUGUAGUC